UUGUAAAAGUCGUAACAAGGUCUCCGUUGGUGAACCAGCGGAGGGAUCAUUACCGAGUUUACAACUCCCAAACCCCUGUGAACAUACCACUUGUUGCCUCGGCGGAUCAGCCCGCUCCCGGUAAAACGGGACGGCCCGCCAGAGGACCCCUAAACUCUGUUUCUAUAUGUAACUUCUGAGUAAAACCAUAAAUAAAUCAAAACUUUCAACAACGGAUCUCUUGGUUCUGGCAUCGAUGAAGAACGCAGCAAAAUGCGAUAAGUAAUGUGAAUUGCAGAAUUCAGUGAAUCAUCGAAUCUUUGAACGCACAUUGCGCCCGCCAGUAUUCUGGCGGGCAUGCCUGUUCGAGCGUCAUUUCAACCCUCAAGCACAGCUUGGUGUUGGGACUCGCGUUAAUUCGCGUUCCCCAAAUUGAUUGGCGGUCACGUCGAGCUUCCAUAGCGUAGUAGUAAAACCCUCGUUACUGGUAAUCGUCGCGGCCACGCCGUUAAACCCCAACUUCUGAAUGUUGACCUCGGAUCAGGUAGGAAUACCCGCUGAACUUAAGCAUAUCAAUAAGCGGAGGA
rnacentral:rRNA from 1 species